CAGGGACCACCUGAGACUUUCUGCAGCUCCGUGAUUUCAGCUUUAUGACCCUUAAUUGACAUUUCAAAAAGGCUUUCCUUACCAUGUGCUGAUUGAAAAAUAAAUAGUUUAGCAAAGAGAGGUCCUUCUUUCCAUGAAUUUGUCCCCACUGGCCACUUAAAUAGUGUGUGUUUAGGUGAAGUACCCUUUACUUCUGUGGGAGGAAACAAAGACUUUUUAAAACCACAUUAUUGCUGCAGCCCCAGAAGCUGAGAAGAAAGAGAACAGAUGGGUGGCUCUUCUCAAAGAAUGGUGCCUUCAUCUGGAUUUCCUCUUCUUAAACAUUUAUCUUCUUGUUCCUUGAAGGCUUUUAGGAAUUAUUAAUUCCACAGUGGCUGCAUGGUAACUGUUGAUUAGUGGUGGCUUAUUUUGGUGAGUGUGUCCAACAGAGGUACACAAAAGGAAGAUUCUAACCCCAAGAUGAUGUAGCUCUUGAAGAAAGCAGGAGAGACUUCUGGGACUUAUGAUGAUAAAGCUGGAAAUCUCGCUCCUCUGGCUCAGAAAAAUAAAGGGCUCUACCUCUCUUGAGAACCCUCAGCACCUAGGACAAGGAGAAACUUAGUGCUUCCAGUGGAGGGGGCUGGUGACAUGAAGUCUACAAAGUUCCCAAGAGAGGACAAAACCUGAGAGCAUCAGCAUGUCUCAUGCAAACUUCCUCUGCCCCUGGAAAAAACUCUGGGGGAUCCAGGCAGGAGAAGAGAUAAGCUGUGGCCCACAUGGCUCCCUGGAGAGAAAGACAGCUCUGCUCUGGUUUACUGGGCUAACUGGAAGACAGCAUUCCCAGAAAGGCUAUUAUGGAGCAGAAUUGUAGCAACGGUGUUCUUUCCCCCAGCUAGUGGAGCUGAGCUUAUAAUGCAGCUCAGCCUUCAGCACAUGCAGAGAUCCACCAACAGAAAAAGAAGGGCCCUUCUAAUGUUUGUACAGUCCAUAAAUCAGUUCUCUGGUGGAGACAGCCUCACCCUUGUUCUUUUGGUGGUCUUUUCUUUUUUACCCGGUACCUUAACCAGGAACUGACUUGUCUUUGCUCACUUACCUUAACUUGAAAUAUUAUCUUAUAUGUUCUUCCUGUGGUGGAAGAUUGAUUUUUUUCCAUCAUUCUCUUCUCUAAUACCUCUUCUUCAUUAUUUUCUAUUGAAUGCCAGCUCCUUUCCCUCUUCUCAAGAAGAGGGAAAAGACACAUGUCAUAACCAUUUUCCCUAUUGAAGGAAGCUGGCAGUUUUAUAACGUAACUCUCAUUACAUUCCUAAGACAGAGACUGGGAUGGGUGUAGUGCAGUGGUCUUCAAACUUAUUUUUUAAACAUUCACAAUUUUCUUUACAAUUUUUUGAAUUCAUCUCUUAGUUACAAAUUCAUUUAUUUGUAAGUUAUACAUAGUUGAUUAUACUAAUCUGUGCAUUUAAAAACACAAAAAUAAAACAUUUAAAUAGUUGAGUUAAAUUUGAAAUAUAUAAUAUUAAUUUUUUAUCAAUUUUAGCUAGUCUCUUACAUCACUAUAUAUCAUCAAGGCAAAGUUCAUCAUUAAUAAUAAUGGAAGUAAAUGUGUAAUUGUUUCAGCUCACAGUGUAGCCGAUAAAGAGAUUGUUCUAGCAGGAAAAGUAAUAGGACUUCCACUUUUUGGUUGUUUGCUUGUGCUUGCUUUAUGAAGAGUCUCUUUAAUUUGCAAUUUCUCACAGGAAUCUUUUUAAGCCCCUCAUUCCUUUUAUGAUGGUUAAUGUAAUAAAAACUAGAUAAGAUCAUCUGUAAACUUAUGUAGACAGAUACAUGUACAUUAUUUUUGUCUUAAUAUUCAAUAUGCUGAAAGUGCAUAAUGUGUGAGGUUCCCUACUGUUAAUGGCCCUGGGCCAUAGAUUCACACUCAGGAAAGCAUGUGUACUGUAUGUGAAAUGAAUCCAUCUCAAAUAGGCUCUGAGUGUAUCAUUGCCAAUAUGCACAUUACAUAUCUGUAAACCUUAUAUUUAUUAUGUUAUAGAUACAAAUAAAUAAAAUGUUAAGUAUUUUCUUCCCAGUCCAAUGAAUCAUUUCGCACAUUCAUCAAUGUGUGGACAGCCUAUAUUAAGAACCAUCACCGGUUUAGUGAAUGUGUAAGAGACUCUUAGUGAUCCACCAUUAUCUCACUUGGAAACCCUAAAAACAACAGAUGCCAUAUGAUCA
rnacentral:lncRNA from 1 species